AAAAUAAUGGUGGCCACACAAAAUAUUGACACUUUGGGCCAAAUUUGGACAUUUUCACUUAGGGGUGUACUCACUUUUGUUGCCAGCGGUUUAAAUAUUAAUGGCUGUGUGUUGAGUAAUUUUGAGGGGACAGCAAAUUUACACUGUUACACAAGCUGUACACUCUCUACUUUACAUUGUAGCAAAGUGUCAUUUCUUCAGUGUUGUCACAUGAAAAGAUAUAAUCAAAUAUUUAUAAAAAUGUGAGGGGUGUACUCACUUAUGUGAGAUACUGUAUAGAACAGGCAUAGGCAUGGGGUCUGUUCUGACACUUUCAUGUGAGCUUUUCACCUUGAAGUCUCUAUAAUACAGUAUAAUCAUUCAGUGUCUUUAACUAUUAGUUCUAAUUGAUAAACAUAUUGCUUUAACAAAGCACUAGACUAAGCAGGCUAGGAUCCUUAGGGAAGACUCAUUCAUCAGCGAUGUGUCAGACAUUUAACUGCCAUGUGUCAAACACACUGAGGAAGUGCAGGUGUGUUUUCUGCUCUCACACAGAGCUCGAGUGCGCUGUUCACAUGCAGGACUCUUUACGAGCGGAGGCCUGGACGCCCGGUGUGACUUCAGCUGGGAAAACAACACUGAGUCUCAUUUUGCUUGUCUCUUUCCUGGUGCUGAAAUCAUUUUACUUGGAUCGUUUUAAAACAUUCUCCAUUUACCAGCAAGACUUCAUCUUCAAUAAGCCACCGGUUCCCAACCCUGGUCCUGGACUACUGCCUGUCUUGCACAUUUUAGUGUUGUCCCUGGUCUAACACACCCAGUUCAAAUCACGAAGGGCGGUUAAUUAGCUGAUUAGAUGAAGCAGAUGUUGGGAAUAGGAGCAGGAUAAAAAAAAAACUAAAAUAUGUAGGAGAGGGGUACUCCUGGACCAGGGCUGGAAACAUGUGCACUUAGAGUUAAUGGGAGGAAAAUUACCAUUUCAUACUCUUCCUUUCUACAUAUUAUGUAAUGACAGUCAUAAUUAAUAAUUAUGUUGUAUGAUUUCUGCAACAUUUUUUUUAUGUUUAAAUGAUACAGUAAUGCUUAUGGGAAACAAUUAUUUUAAAACAAGGUACAAUCAGGCUUUUGCAUGGUGUAGCCUGCCACCUGCUGAUCAUACAAGAAACAGACAAAUGUAUUCUAUUGGGCUUCAAGUUCAAGUACUCUGGUUAAAGACCUCUUUUUAAAGAAUUUCUGGUUAUAGACCUCUGGUUAAAGGAUUUCUG
ensembl:lncRNA